rnacentral:rRNA from 1 species
GACGGGGGGGGCAAGUGUUCUUCGGAAUGACUGGGCGUAAAGGGCACGUAGGCGGUGAAUCGGGUUGAAAGUGAAAGUCGCCAAAAAGUGGCGGAAUGCUCUCGAAACCAAUUCACUUGAGUGAGACAGAGGAGAGUGGAAUUUCGUGUGUAGGGGUGAAAUCCGUAAAUAUACGAAGGAACGCCAAAAGCGAAGGACAGCUCUCUGGGUCCCUACC